rnacentral:tRNA from 1 species
GGCUAUGAAUGAGUAUUUACGGGGACUCAUAAUCCCUUGGUCGCUGGUUCGAGUCCAGCCAGACCCA